GGCCCCGCCCGGGGGAGGGCCGACGGGGGCGUCCUCGCUGACGCGCGCUGUGUGGCCAGUGCCCCCGCACGGGCGGGUCUCAAGGAAGGGCUGCCCUAACCCAGGAAUGUGUCCAGCCAGGGUAUGGUAUGCCACUGAGGGGCUAGCAUUAGCUUCAAAACAGAGGAGCCAGCAGAAACAAACACCCAGAAGGAACAGUCAGAGAAGUUGAAGAAGACCUGAGGAUUUGUGUCCUGGAAUCCCAGAAAGUCAAGAAGAUGAUGAAUGAGGCUGCAAGCUGCAGACCAAUCAAGCAGGUGCUUGUGCCACUGAGCUAUAUCCCCAGCCCGCUGUUCUUAACAUAUGUUGACCAACUGCUUCUGCUUUGAUGGAAAAGGACUUCCAGGGCCCCAAGGAGCCUGUAUCCUUUUACGACAAUUUUUCUCCAGAAUGAAGCAUAUAUCUAUGUGAGUACAGCUGGCUAUGUUGUAUGAUGCCCUAGAGGACAGGCACACAUGGAAAGGACGGAAGUCUCCAGACAACAGCUGAGGAUGACUGAGGCCACCUGAGUGAGCUUGGAAACCAGCCCAUCUCUCAUCAAUCCCUGAGAUGAAUGUAUCCCUGGCCUGUGGCUUUAUUGCCAGCUAGAGUGGGUCAUUACCUCAGAGUCACAUCCAGAAGAAACCCCAACCCAACUCCUACAAAAGCUUUAAGAAGCAAG